rfam:Rhabditophanes sp. KR3021 genome assembly, scaffold: RSKR_scaffold0000055
GUUCCUAUGGAGUAGUGGUUAACUCGUCUGCUUCACACGCAGAAGGUCACCGGUUCAAUCCCGGUUGGGAGCU